GCGGGGGUUUGUUUAUUUUCGCGGUUGGUAGCGGCGCUGGCGCUGGUUAGAGGUUCGCCGGUGACGUGAGCGCCCGAGUUGGGGGAGAGGACCAGAACCACCUGCUGGAGAAGGGGAGCUACGGGGGCCGGGCAGGGUCCAAACGCCUCACGUAGGCGGCGGCGCCACGGUCUUCGGGGUCACAGGGAAGAGAAGGGCUCUCCUCAAGCGGGUGGAAGGAGGGAGGCCUCCCGAGGGAGUGAGACUCUAGGCCACUCCCCCGCAGCAAGGCAGGAUCACCUGCGAUGCGGAGAGCAGUUAGAGGGCCCUGGAGUGGAAAAGGGCAGUGGGACCUGGUAGCUUGGGUUCCCUGCAACUUGGGGUUCGACCUCCAGGCAAUGAAGUAGGGAUGGUCCUGCAAGUCAAGAUUCCAGUAGCAAGAGUGCAUCAGAUCUCUGUAAGGAAAAUAACUAACAUUGCUCAGUUCCCUGUAGAGUUGCAGGGCGCUUUGACGUUAUCUCCCUUGGUUCUCCAUCAGGUCGUAGUGGACUAACUUUACAGGCGAAGUUAAGUGACUUACCCAAAACCUCACAGCUAAUAAACGGCAGAGCCGGCACCCAGCUGUACUGGCUUCCAAUUCUGUGAGCUUACCAGCGCAUCCCAUUAUCUCCAUAAAUCCCCCUGAUUCGACUAAUAUUAGACGCCCCACGGGUAAGAUGCUUCAGAGUUAGAGGCGAGUUGAAGAUACCUUUGCCUUCAAAGAAGUAAGGAAUAAAACAAAGAUAAAACAGACAAUAAAAGACAAACCAUGAUAGGUGCCACGUGAAAAGUGGCAGAGUACUGCCGGGAAUCAAAGAACCGUGUGUAUCUGUCUUGAGGAUAAGGAAAGAAAGGCAGCAUGAAGGAGUAGGCAUUUGGGAUUGACCUUGAAGGAGACAGGGAGAGUUUUACAGCAAGAAGGGAUAGCAUGAGAAUAUAUAUGAAGGCGAAUCAGUGAAAGUUGUGUUGGGGAAAGACCAAAGACUCCAGGGUAUGUUGAGAGGUAGAAAAGACAAAGGAGUAUGGGGCUUAAGAUACCGAAUGGAUGAAUUUAUAUUUAAUUCAGUAUUUUGAGUUUUUAUGAUUCAGAAGUUUGGGGGAAGAAAAGGAAGGUUUUUUUUUUUCUUUGUGCUAGUGAUUUAUCUGUGAGGGGAAGCAGAAAUUAGAGGUGGAAAAACUGACAGAUCUACUGUAGGCCAGGUAAAAAUGAUGAGUCUGACCUAAAGGGACAGCCAGGGGAAUUUAAAAGAGCAUAGUUGAGAGAUGAUGUGCAUGCAGAAUCUAUAGAAUUUGGCAACUGAUUGAUUAAUUGUGGGUAGGAAGAGAGAAAUCAAAGAAAGUGGAGGUUUUGAGUUUCUAGAUAAUUGCAAGAGAGAAAAGAGACAAUUACAAAGGAAAGGAGAGGGAGCUACUUCCUGAGAGAAGAUCAGUUUAGAUUUGGACAUUUUAAGAAUUCAAAGGGUUGUCAAGACAGCCAGAGAGACAUGGACACUAAUAAGUUAGAAAUAAAGAUUUUGUAAUAUGGGAAAGAGGACUGAACUAGAAAAUAGACUCAUAAAUAAUCAGCCUAGGAGUGAUAUUGCUGUGAGAUAAAAGAAGAAAACAAAGGUCAGAAUCUUGGAAAACACCCUCUUUAGAGUCUCGCUACUCAAAACGUGGUCAGUGGCCCAGCAGCACGGACAUGAGGAUGUUAGUUAGAAACUCAGAAUCUCAGGCUCCACCCCAGACAUGCUGAAUCAGCAUCUUCAACUUAACAAGAACCCGAAGAGAUUUGUGUCACAUCAAAAAGUUUGAGACGCUCUGAUCUAGGUGAGCCAAGCCAGCAAAGAAAGGGGGUGGAGCAGAAAAUGGGAGGAGAAUAGGGUAAUGCAGAAUCAUCAAGACAAGGUAAAUUGGAGUUUCACAAAAACAGGGCUGGAAGGAGUGUUGCUCAACAAUAUCCAAAACCACAGAGGUUGAAAAGCACAAGGAAAGAAGCUGGACCCUGGACACGGUGACUCUGAUUCAAUUAUGCAGAUGACCACAAGCCUCUGGGGUUGGCAGAGCCGCAAGAAAGAAGGUGCCUGGAUGAAGGAGAACUACCCACUGACCUGGACACCCAAUUAUGUCAUAGGUGCUGUGAUCUAGAGACAAAAUGUUCCUUACACUGGCAGAUACUUGCAAACUAAGGGGAAUGAGCUUCCUUCUGAAUGUUUAUGAAGGAGAGGCCACUGUGAGGAUAGACAGUGAAGUGCAACUACAGCCCGCAAAUGGAAAUGAAUAAUAUUAAUCCAGCCCCUCAAGGCAGGCGAGUAGCUGCUGUCAUCUGUCUUAGAGCUAUUGGAAUCCUGGAUCAUUGUGGGAAAUGAAAGGAACUGGUUUUUAGCAAGGAGACCAAGAAACUCUACUCCCUAGGGGCUAGCAAUGAGAGAAAGGAAGCCUUGAGUCUUUGAGCACAGGGUGACAGUUUGGGUCCUAUGUGAGAUGAUCAAAUCCACAGCAACAGAGGAAAGGACAAAAGGAAAAGGUCUGUAGCAGCACUACAUCAGAAAAAAUGGAUUCAGCAAGGAAGUGGGUGACUCUGAGUAAGCAUCCAUGUCAGGAUGGUUUUGCUACAGCCCCCAACAAAACAUUAAUUAAAGAAACUCAACUUCGGUUUACAAGUGUUUUGGAAAAGUAACAAAGAACAACAUAAGUAACAAAAUAAUUCCUCAGGUCAUUACAAUGGAUGUUUCCUAUAACUGAAAAAUAUGGUUAAAAAGUACAAACUACAUUUGG